CUUUUGGUACCUCACACAAGGCUUGGUAUAUAGUAGGAGCUUAAUAAGCUCAGUGAGUGGAAUGGCCUGAGGUCCUUUUUUUUAAAGAUUGGGCUCAGGUGCAGCGUCGUGCUCCAGGUCCCCACGUAGCAAGUGGUAACGGUGCGAUUCCCUCUCAGGUUCGCCCCACUAAACUCUCUCCGGGACGGGCCGGCUCACGUGCCACGCCAGUUCCGGGUCCGCCGCGGGAGGGAGCGUGUGCACCGGGUGUGGCGGGGAGACAGUGUCCCCUGCCAGCCCCUGUGCCUUCCGCAUCCCCGCCCGGGAGGCCCGUGGGCACUGUCCUUCUGCCGCCAUCCGCUUCUGCAGCCACAGAGCCAUCAGUCAAGUGUAUGUACGGGCGGAAGCCUCUUCCCGGCACUGACCCGCAACCCUGCCUAGUUUCCGGCCCCAAGGCUCAGGCCCCAGGCCGCGGGACCCUUCGCCCCCGUCACGCUCACCCGGCCGACCACCGCGCCCGGCCCCGCCCAGCCUGCAGGUCCCGCCCUCCACUUCCUCGUUUGGCGCUCCUCCCCCCGCGCCGCGCUCCAUACUUGGCGAUCGCCGCGGCCCGGCGCGUUCAUUGGCCCGGAGUCGGCUGCGUGGGGGGCGGGCCUCGGCCCGGCCGGGGCGGGGAAGGAAGGUGGCGGCGGCCCGGCGCUGGGGGAGGGGACGCUGACCCGGAUGUUCACUCCUGGGCACCCGGGGAAGUGGAAGCGCCGGGCCCUGCUGCGGGGGGGAGAGCCACGGACUCCGGGACCGGGACCGCCGCCGCCGCCGCCACCAUGGUCUGGAUUCCUGAUCUGUGCCUGGUGGAACCCCUCAAGAACUGAGUCCUUGCUCAGAGGAAGCAGGGACAGGAGUGGGGACAGAGUACCCUCUAAGCGCUACUCCUUCAUUGAGUAUUACAAGUCAUUUGGAGAGAAUCGUGCCAACUGUGCAGCUUAUGGCUUUACG